CCUACGGGAGGCAGCAGUGGGGAAUAUUGGACAAUGGGGGGAACCCUGAUCCAGCCAUGCCGCGUGUGUGAAGAAGGCCCUCGGGUUGUAAAGCACUUUCAGUGAGGAAGAACGCCUGGUGGUUAAUACCCAUCAGGAAAGACAUCACUCACAGAAGAAGCACCGGCUAACUCCGUGCCAGCAGCCGCGGUAAUACGGAGGGUGCGAGCGUUAAUCGGAAUUACUGGGCGUAAAGCGCGCGUAGGUGGCUUGAUAAGCCGGUUGUGAAAGCCCCGGGCUCAACCUGGGAACGGCAUCCGGAACUGUCAAGCUAGAGUGCAGGAGAGGAAGGUAGAAGCCCCGGUGUAGCGGUGAAAUGCGUAGAGAUCGGGAGGAAUACCAGUGGCGAAGGCGGCCUUCUGGACUGACACUGACACUGAGGUGCGAAAGCGUGGGUAGCAAACAGGAUUAGAUACCCGGGUAGUC
rnacentral:rRNA from 1 species